AUCUUAAGCAGGCUCCAAGCUGGGCUUGGAGCCUGAUGCAGGGCUCGAUCCUAUCACCCUGGGAUCAUGAUCUGAGCCAAAAUCAAGGGUCGAACGCUCAACCGACAGAGCCCCCCAGAGCCUCCCUAUAUGCUUCUUUUUAAACACUGGGAUUUAUUAAGAAGGGAAGCUUCAUAUCCCUACGUACAUGGAAGUCGAUCAUCAAUGAGGAUAAAAGGGAGGCAAUCAUAUAGAGCAACGCAGGAAGCAGAACUGGGUUUUCAGCAUCUAGGUUGGUACCAUUGCUUUUGCCCGGGGAGGGGGCGGUGUGUGCAGCUGGGGGUUUCCCAGCACUUACAGAACCAGUUUGCCGAGCCCCCUUACGAACUCCGCAGCCAGCUGUGAUGCACCCCUUUGUCAGAGUUCUGCGUUCCUGCCCCUCUCCCAGGCUUCCAAGUUUUAAUAUUUUUAGCCUCUUUCCUUUCCUCCUCCAGCCCUAGGGAGAGGGGCGGCUUUCUGUAAUUGUUGGAGAACUCUUGUUUUGCCUUUUCAGUGCUUCAGUUGCUGGGUGUGGUGGGCAGAAUAAUUGUCCCCCAAAGAUAUCCAUGACCUAAUCCCCAGGGCCUUGAAUAAGUCGCCUUACAUGGCACAAGGGACUCUGUAGACGUGAUUACGUUAAGGACUUGCGAUGGGGAGACUAUCCUGGGUUAUCUGGGUGGGCCCCAUCUUCAUCACAAGGGUCCUUAAAAGCGGCAGUCGGAAACAGAAGAUCAGAGGGAGAUGUGACGAGGGGGAGUGGCCUGAGAGAUAGGGGGCGGGACCGAAAACCUGUAGAGGCUGCAAGAGGCAAAGAAAUGGGUUCAGCCCUAUAGAGCUUCCAGAAAGGAGCACAGCCCAAUGUCCUCUGUGUCAGAUUUCUAACCUUCGGAACUGAAAGAUGAUGAAUGUGUGCUGUUUUUAGCCACUAAACUUGCGAUAGCUUGCUAUAGCAGCAAUAGAAAACACACACCCUGGUUAACACUUCUAUGUGAAAUUCUCUGUUUGUGUAACAGGUGAUCAUCCUCCUUGGGACCUCUUGCAGGGUGUUCUUACCAGAGCUAGGAAGAAAAUAAUAAGGAAGCCCUUGGGGGCAAAGAGGCAGCCUAGUAGCUCUGCGCUGGAGGCCAAGACAGAAAGGAUCUCCCUGGCCCCGUUGACCUUCCCCUUGGUGCUGUGAUGGACGAGGAGGGAGGUGACCCAGACAUUGCGGGGCACCGGCAUGCUUGAACUUGGCUUCAUUGACGGGGUCAGGCAGACUCCUGGCCCGGAGAGCCCCAGCGGUGCUCCCCGGGGCCACAGAGCCUAGAUAUCCCUGGACACCGUAGAAGGCAGUGACAGAGCCCUUACUGCAUCCAGCACAGAUGAAGUGUGCAGGUGCUUUUGUUGGGAGGGCAGUGAAGAAUAAGGAACAGGGGAAACACAGGAAAAGGGAGGUGAGCAGGAUGUAGCUGAGAGUUGGUCGUUGGCCUUGACCAAGGGAAAGUCUUGGUCCUUCACAGAGACCACAAGGACCGCAGCCAGGGGACAGAGAAGCAUAGAUCUGUGGGGGCCAGAGCCGUCCCCGUGGGGUCUUGAUAAACCGGGAAAGCCGCUUUCUUUGGGAGAUGGUGGUCUUGAUCUGGGUUUGAGUCCUGAUGGGAUGAUAUGACAUUUGUCCCUGAUUUUAGUUGAUCAGGGACAAGCUGGUCAACUAGUGAUCAGUGAUACUUCCUCGGCUCUCGAAGACAUUCAGGGCAGCCUCAGCUCACUGGCCGGGUUGGUCUGGAUGGUGGAAUCUCCCUGGCCUUCUUCCUUGCAGGCUAAGACGGUGUCUGAGGUUGCUCCGGGAUUCUGCCAAGCCCGGAUUAAUACCCUCGGGCCAAGAACAGUCAAUACAGAAACUUCAGGAGAGAGCCGCCUGCUUUCUUAGGUAGAAAUCCCUGACGGUUGAUGGGAUUCGUUCCGCUGGUUGCGUCCGGGACCCUGGACGACAUGGCUUCAUCCUGAGGCUUGAAGUCCUGUUCACAGCUGGUGUAGUUGCAUGUUGUACUAAUCAAACUAAAUGAAUCUGGCUAGCCUCUGUCAGUCAGAUGAAUCGGGUCAAGAAUGGAUUGAUUCUUCUAACUCCUGUGUGAGAGUCUUUCCAGAAAACGAAGCCAGCUUUCUCCUCUGUGGGUUUUACCUUCCUCAGUUUCGUUCUCUCCUCUGCCUUCUUCACUAUCUUUCCUUCUUCUUGUCUCGAGUUCUGUACAGACUCUGGGGAUGGUAGGAUCCGAAUGAGGUCGCUGUCAUGAAGAUGGGGCACGGACGACCCGUCACUGAAGCCUCUCAAGCCAGACCAUGUAGCUGGACCCUCCCUUCAAGGUCUUCUCCCACUGCAUUUCUCAAGUUCUCCCAGAGCUGGCCUCCAGCCCAGCAGGUGCUUUAUCCUGGUGGCCCUUUCCUACAUCAGAGAGAGGAGACCGUGUCUGCUCAUCUCCAGGGAGUCAAGUUUCCCAAAGAGCAACAAUUAGGACUGGUCGGACCUCGGAGAAGACACCACACCAAUGGGACAGAACGAAGCCGAUGGGCUUCAAGGGGUGAGACAUCUUCAAAGGCUCUUUUUUGACCUUGAACAAAGGAAUCCUGUGUUAGACAUCAGUUAUUUUCCAGGAAGUAAACCAGGUUCCAAAGAAGCAUGUGUUUUUAGGGGCGCCUGGGUGGCUCAGUCAGUUAAGCGUCCGACUCUUGAUUUCAGCUCAGGUCAUGACCUCACAGUUCAUGGGUUCAAGCCCCGAGUUAGGCUCUGCGUUCACAGUGUGGGCCCUGCUUGGGAUUCUUUCUUUCUCUUUCUCUCUGCCCCUUCCUUGCUCAUGCUUGCUCUCUCUCCCUCUAAAGUAAAUAAAUAAACAUUAAAAAAAUGUGUUUUUUUUUUUCUGGAAGAGAAUUCCAGCAGAGCCUUAAGAAUGACGGGUUACAUCCGUACAAGUGGACGUGAACGUUUUACUUUAUGUAUCAGUCCUAUGAGAGCAAUUUCAUGCUGCUUGGAUUUCUGCGUCUUACAAAAAAAGCAUCUAAAACAUUUGUAAGCAAAACAUACCAAUCAAUAAAAAUCUCUUCAGUACA